UUAAAUAUUGUACAGACCGGGCGACCAACUCCUGCACUGCCUGAUUUGGUGCAACGAGGAAAGAGUUUUGAAAGCAUUUUCAAGUUAUUAAUUAUGAGCGCUAUCCGUGGAUAACCGACUGAGCUGAUUAAAAAGCUUUACUGUUAGAAUUGCCUACUCUUCAGUACCGAUAAUAGCUCAACCUGGACGACUGGGUUCAAAGAUUUAGCCUGUUUGACAAAGUCAGCACUUCGACAACCAAAACUCAUCUUCAUACCUGCGAGCUACUGUGAGUUUAAAAACAUUUGGGGAAACAAGAGUAGACCUUCUUGACGAGCAGUGGCGCAAUGAGACACCUGUUCCCAAUGAUAAAGUCAGGCACAACAGGAAGAUUCUAUAGCGCCUUAUUCAUACGGUUGUGUUUUUAGGCAAGCAAGAAUUAGUUUUCAGAGGACAUGACGAGGGUAAAGAAUCAGCUAAUAAGGGAAACUACUUGGAAAUAUUGGAUUUCUUGGCUGAGUAUGACAGUACGUUAAACGGCCAUUUAGCUACGGCUACCGUGUUCACAGGCACUUCCAGCAAAAUCCUAAAUGACCUGAUAUACGCGGUCGCGAAUGUAAUGACAGAUGUCAUGGAGGAAGAAUUGAAGAAAACCCCCUUUGUGACCAUCAUGGUUGACGAGACGACAGACAUCAACAAUGUAGGCCAAAUGUCUUGUGUUGCGUUACACUACCGAUGGUGGUGUGAAGGAAAGGUUUUUCAAAUUUGAGGCUGAAAGCUGAAGACCGAUAUAUUUUUAACUGGGCUUCCGUGUGGACUUCCAUUUACAAUUACAAGAUGACAGACUGAAUUGGAUUGAUUAGGUUAAGUUUAGGAAACGCAAAAAGCGUUUUGACCAUUCUAACCCAAGUCCCUGACCGGAACAUAAAAGGCAAAGGAUCACAGUGGGAAGCAGCAGUUCUAAGAGACUUGACAGUGUGGUGUGUUGGUGUGUUGCCUCAGAGCUGUAAUAAUGUCAAUGUACCACGUCCCUACCAACUGACGAUGAUGGUGAGCCCUAUGAUUGUGCCGUCCUAGUUGACCAGGUGAAUUACAGGAGAAGGUGAUUCUCUCAAUCUAGUCCCUGAGGAGAAUAGAUGGGAAGCAGCCCCGUUGGGAGGGGCCAUACCAAGUACUCCUGGUGACAGCCUUCGCGGUGAGAAUAGCUGAAAGAGCUACCUGGGGGCAUAUCACACAUUGCAGGAGGGUAAGACACACUGACACUGCCGAACAAUCACAGUGUUAGGAGAAGAACCGAAACCAAUAAGGUUCGGGGGUCACCUCUCUAACGAAGAUUCCCUGACCUCGCCCUGUCCUCCCUGUGUGCGUUCAUAGAAGUGAAAGUGUGGGCUGGCCUCUAGAUGAUGAUAUGUUCUCCGGGAAAGGGUGGGGCUUUACAGGAGUGCUGAUUGGUCUGAGCUGUCUUAUUAUGGGAACAAUAUUCCUAAAUACACCAUGACCCAUCCGAGAAUGCAGAAGGUGGUAACUUGACCCAUAGUUUAGACGGUGAGGAUUUUGUAUUAACCAAGCAUAAGAGAUCACUUGUUCUGGAUAGACAGGAAGUUAGAGUGGAGAUUGGGAAGGAUGUCUCAAUGGAGCUUUAUGUAGACCAAAUGGGGUCUCUGACUCCUUGGCAGUCUAGGACUAUGAGCCAUUAUGGAAUAUAUCUGUGCAGGUCCCCGUGUAGUUCAUGGACACAGGUCAUAGCUCACACAGAGAGAGAGGGCUAUAUAAAUCCACAUACCCAGUAUGGACGGAGGUGGAGUAUAGUGAAGGUGAGGGUUUUUGACUGCAAUCCGAAGCGAGAGAAGUAUUGCAUAAAGGUAAUGAAAGAGGAUCUAGAGUUAUGGUAUGUUGGAUUUGACCAGGUUUUGGUUGAUACCCUAGUGCCAUUCCGGGUAGAGGAGGUUAGGGCAGGUGAUAGCUCUAUAGUCAGCCAGAAUACAAGCAGAGCCCCUGACAAAACAGAUACUGACAGCAGAGUAGUCCAGAGUCAAGGACCGGUGCAGAUAUACACAACAAGAUCUUAAGGAAGUGAUUGAGGUGGAAACUGGUUAUGGGGAUUCUAACCUAUGGUUAGAAUGGAUUCAGUAUACAGCCAGAUCAGUAGCGAAAGAAGAAGGUUAUGCCUGCGCCACAGCAAAACCUCAGUUGACAACCAUUCCCUUUCCAUUUGAUGGAAAGGGAAAGCUGUUCAUGAAGGCAGGGAAGCCAGACAAUGACAGUUGCAUUAUCUGUAUCCCCAUGUGCCCAUUACAUCCGGACUUCCCCCAUUUCACAGUUACAGGAGGACACUAUUAUUGUAUGGGUCACUACAUCACACACGGAUGGGACGUAGGGGAAGUAAGAACAUGCAAUAGGACAGAGAAUGUUACAACCGACAAGACAAUGAGGGACCUGACUGGCAGAUGAAAAGGCCUAGAGCGGAUGUCUGGUGGGUUGUGGAGGGGUGAGGCUGUGGCCUGACCUUCCUACCAAUUGGACCGGUAGUUGUGCACUAGUGCAGUUAGGCAUGCCCUUCACCCUUAUCAAACACGAGGACCUAGAGCCAGGUAGAAGAGAGAGAAGGAGUGAUCCGUCUGGAUCUUUUGACAAUAGAAUUUACAUAGGAUAGUAUUGGAUAUGUUACUGGCUGAAAAGGGUGGUGUGUGUGAUAUUCGGAGUAGAAUGUUGUACCUUCGUCCCAAAUAACACAGCUCCAGACGGAUCAGUGACCAAGGCCCUGGCUGGUUUAACUAGCAGAGAUCUCUGGGGUAGAUACUUCUCGGACGAGUUGGUUUGACAGUGUGUUUGGGAAAUGGAAAAAUGUCAUGAUCACUGUGUUGUGGGCAACCUUCACCUGUGUGACUGUGUUAGUUUUGUGCGGAUGUUGCGUGAGAGGUCUAAUUUCCAGGACUCUGGAGAAAUCGAUGACGCAACAGAUUUUUAAUGUUUAGGUUUCUUCUUGUUUUUAUGUUUAGACUGUUCACUGUUCUUUGAUGAAGAUUAUAACGAGAAUCCUGAUAAGAAGAGUUAUGAUUCUGAUGUAGGCCUAGAACAGUCAUUGUAAAUACAUAUAUUGGUCUUUGUGUGGUUGAUUUUGGAUAUAAUUGAUAUUUCUUAUAAAAAUAGAUGUGGGAUUGUGUGUAUAAUAUUUAGUCAUAGGGUGGAUUGUUAUGGGGUUUUUAUGAAUAAUGACUAAAUGAUGUAUACAUUUAACGUAGAACUAUAACUAACAGAAUUCUACCCUGUCAUUGUAUGAUUGUAUGAAAUGUAUUAGAAUCAGAAAUCUAAAUCUGAUGUUUGUAGUUUUAGUCAGAACUAGAACAAGGACUUUUUGUUCCUUUUUAGUAUGUAAGCAGGGUGCAAGUGUGAGACAAUGUAUGAGAUAAGAGGAGC